rnacentral:rRNA from 1 species
GACGAACGCUGGCGGCGUGCUUAACACAUGCAAGUCGCACGAAGUGGCGAACGGGUGAGUAACGCGUAAUCAACCUGCCCUUCAGAGGGGGAUAACAGUUGGAAACGACUGCUAAUACCGCAUACUGCAGUAGGGGAUUGCGUCUGAUUAGAUGGUGGGAGGGGUACCGGCCCACCAAGGCGAUGAUCAGUAGCCGGGCUGAGAUGAGGAACGGCCACAUUGGGACGGAGACACGGCCCAGACUCUUACGGGAGGCAGCAGUGGGGAAUCUUCCGCAAUGGACGAAAGGCUGACGGAGCAACGCCGCGUGAGUGAUGACGGCCUUCGGGUUGUAAAGCUCUGUUAAUCGGGACGCGGUACCGGAAUAGAAAGCCACGGCUAACUACGUGCCAGCAGCCGCGGUAAUAC